rnacentral:lncRNA from 1 species
CCAUGGGAGCUCUCUCUCUCUCUCCCCAAUCUGUGACGUUGAAUCGCCUCGAGGGGAAUCGUGUGGAGCCGCUUCACUGCGACUGCAUUAUGCAAUCGGUUUAAAAAGAUGUGAGUGCCUUUUUCAGUAGAUAUAUGUAGGUAUAUGUAUAUAUGGUGCCAUCGUUUUGCCAGAUUCACCAUUUAACUUCAUCUUCUAGGUUUGACCUCCUUCCCUUCCUUCCACCAUGCUACAGUUUUGGCACUGUAAAACUGUUAACCAACUUUCAAAGGACCCUUUGUCAUCAGCUGAUAUUCUUGCUUGUGGGACUUCCCUUACGAUUACUAAUCAACAGGUCCUUGGGAAAUUAGUGGUGGUUUACUUUAUACAGUGCUACGUAUAACUUGCCAGCUGAUGAACUCUGGGGAACUUCCUUAUCGAUUUCGACUUCUUUAACACGCCUCACAAUGCACCUAACUGAUGGUCCCGAGUCAUUCACGCCAUUCUUUUCCCUCGAUCUCUUCAAUCAAACAAUUUUCUAUCUUAACUAGGACUGUUCUAGAGAGAAUCUUCUCAUUCGGUGGAGCUAAGUCAGACUCAUUCAAUCAGAGCCAAUCUUUUUAUAUGGAAACUAAGAUAGAUGACCCACGUAACGCUCGGAUAUUACCCGGUAGAAGACCCGUCUGAGAUCAAUCUCGCUAUGACAACUCCUCGUAAGUCUAUAUUCUACUAUCCUCGUCUGUCAAAACACUUUCCAGGAAAAGACAGACAUCUGAGUCAUACAAGGCAUAUUUCCUGCUCCGUCCAUCUCUGUCCCGCGCGCGCGCGCGUUAAUAACGGCAAAGCAUCAUGCAAUAACCCGAUAACCGCGCGGCUAGGUUCAUUAACAGUGAUAUCGAACUCCUUCCUCUACUUGCUUGGACUUUCCCAUCUUUUCAAUAUUCUUCUCACUUUAGAUUAGACUAAAAUGUGUCCUACUCUUAGAGCCGGCACAUAUAUUCAUGGUUUUAUCCGGACUAAAUUAUUCCUCCGGUCGGAGGACGUGGGGAAAUUUCUUGUAGGAUGUAUAGAUGUCUAAUCUGGCCUAGUAGGUCAACUUCAUCUCUCGAAAAAUUGUAAAUAUUGGACUUUGAUCAUAAUCCUGUUUGUUAUCCAUGUCCAAUUUGAUUUGAAAUGCCAAAUCUUUUUUUUUUUAUAUCCAAAAUCCCAAGUGCUUCUUUGUGUUAGUUCAUUUUCGACAUCUUUUAACUGGUCAUUGUUUCAAAUCAAUUAAAAAAAAAAAAGUUCAAAAGGACCGUAUUAAAGAAACCAAGAGCAUUCGAAGCACCGACAGUACCAUGAGCAUAAUUGACAACUAAGCUGCCGAAGACUUUUAGUGACUUCACCACAUAGAGUUAACGUUAAUGAAAAAGAAAUAAUUAGGGUCACCUCCCGAGGCCUAUUAUUAGAUGAAAUAAUAUUUAGAAAUGCAAGUGCCGUUGGAAGUGACAUUGCCGGCUUAAUAAAAUGAGUUACGUGAUAGAUGCUAUCUUAGCUUUGACAUCAUGAAUGGCUUGGUUAGGUAAGGGGUGGUUGGAUUGUCAUCUGGAUCGUCUAAUUUUUUGCAUCUCAUGCAUGGCAUGAUGUUUAAUUGACUUCAUUUGGAUGCCGUCGAAUUAGAUGCGCAAACUACAGAAAUGUACAUUAUUUGGUGAAGAUCCUCGUUCAUUUCCAGUCUGGAGUCUCAAAUAUCGACAUUGGACAUAUGACAUCACAUUAUUUCAUGAAUCGACAUUGGACAUGAAACAUCGCAUUAGCUAGGAACUAGGAAAUGAUUAAGAGAACAGUUUUAUUCCUGAACAUCGCUUCUUUGCACUUUUAUUUCAUCCCCUCAAAGAGAAGAACAAAACCAACGUAUUACACACUUGAUGCCGAAUAAUUAUUGAGUGAAAACAGAACAGUUAAGCACAAAAGCAAAAGCUCUAGCACCGGGGCAGGUCUGCCGGCGGGUGAGGAAGGGUCUCGAGCUCCCCUUUGCCAUUCUUCACUAUAAACGCUGAAGCUAAUCCCCAUGACAAGUGUAUAUCGAAGUGACAAUGCAUGAACCAAACCCCUGCAUAUCAUUGAUCAAACUCAAUUUUUGUUAAGCAUCUCCAAAAGAAAUGACUGGAACGCGCUAGCACUUACAAGGCUCGUUCCAAUCACAUAGGUGGCACAAUCACAAAGACAGGAGAAUCGGCUCACCUGGAUUGUCUGCCACAAAUCGAAUUGCCGCCCAUCCGCCCACGGGAACUGCAAU